rnacentral:tRNA from 1 species
CCGCCCUUAGCUCAGCCUGGUAGAGCUGCUCCCUUUUAAGGAGAAGGUCGUAGGUUCGAAUCCUACAGGGCGGA